rnacentral:rRNA from 1 species
CCUACGUGUGGCUGCAGUGGGGAAUAUUGGACAAUGGGCGAAAGCCUGAUCCAGCCAUGCCGCGUGUGUGAAGAAGGCCUUCGGGUUGUAAAGCACUUUCAGUGGGGAAGAAAGCCUUGGGGCUAAUACCCUCGAGGAAGGACAUCACCCACAGAAGAAGCACCGGCUAACUCCGUGCCAGCAGCCGCGGUAAUACGGAGGGUGCGAGCGUUAAUCGGAAUUACUGGGCGUAAAGCGCGCGUAGGCGGUCUGAUAAGCCGGUUGUGAAAGCCCCGGGCUCAACCUGGGAACGGCAUCCGGAACUGUCAGGCUAGAGUGCAGGAGAGGAAGGUAGAAUUCCCGGUGUAGCGAUGAAAUGCGUAGAGAUCGGGAGGAAUACCAGUGGCGAAGGCGGCCUUCUGGACUGACACUGACGCUGAGGUGCGAAAGCGUGGGUAGCAAACAGGAUUAGAUACCCCUGUAGUC